rnacentral:lncRNA from 1 species
CUCUUCCCUUCGUUCCGUUGAAUGUUGUUCUGGUUCUUUCUGAUUUUCCUCAACUUCAGUAACCACAGGUUCACCUUUUACUGUUUCUGUAGGCUCAACUUCAGUAGCCACAGGUUCUUCUUUUACCGUUUCUGUAGCUUGAACUUCAGUAGCCACAGGUUCUUCUUUUACCAUUUCUCUAGGAUCAACUUCAGUAACCACAGGUUUGACUUUUACUGAUUCUGUCAGAUCAACUUCAGUAACCAGGGGUUCUUUUACUGUUUUUGUAAUUUCAACUUCUGUAGCCACAGCUUCUUCUUUUACUGUCUCUGUAGGAUCAACUUCAGUAACUAUAGGUUCGUCUUUUACCGUUUCUGUUGCCUCGAAUUCAGUAGCUGCAGGUUCAUCUUUUACCAUUUCUGUAGGCUCAACUACAGUUGUCACAGGUUCUUCUUUUACGGUUUCUGUAGCUUCAACUUCAGUAGCCACAGAUUCUUCUUUUACUGUUUCUGUAGCUUCAACUUCAGUAGCCACUGGUUCUUCUUUUACUGUUUCUGUAGCUUCAACUUCAGUAGCCACUGGUUCUUCUUUUACUGUUUCUGUAGCUUCAACUUCAGUAGCUGCAGGUUCGUCUUUUACCGUUUCUGUAGCCUCAACUUCAGUUGCCACAGGUUCUUCUUUUACCGUUUCUGUAGGCUCAACUUCAGUAGCCACGGGUUCUUCUUUUACUGUUUCUGUAGCUUCAGCUUCAGUAGCUAGAGGUUCUUCUUUUACCGUUUCUGUAGGAUCAACUUCAGUAACCACAGGUUCGUCUUUUACGGUUUCUGUAACCUUAACUUCAGUAGCUGCAGGUUCUUCUUUUACUGUUUCCGUAGCCUCAACUUCAGUAGCCACAAGUUCUUCUUUUAGUGUUUCUGUAGCCUCAACUUCAGUAACCACGGGUUCUUCUUUUACUAUCUCUGCA